GCCCAUCAACGCUCGGCUGCCUCGCCUUGCGACUUGUUCGUGGUGCGGUUCGGCUCGAUGCGGAAAUUGGCCCCCCGAGCCUCUAAGGCGCGGUGUGCUCAAUUGUAAGGCCGUCGGAUGGGGCUGGGUGCGGCGAGUGGUGGUCUGCUGCGCAUGCCGACCCCAAACCCCAUGCCGGAUGAGGGCUUUCACCGACCCCCGAAUGAGGAGGCUGUCCUCUAAGCAUCCUGCUGUGAGGGCAGUCCUCGGACC
rnacentral:misc_RNA from 1 species